UGAACACCUGACUCCAUGACUGCACCAGCAGAAGUAUCGCAGCACACUAUGAUUCGUGGCACAAAUUGGGGGUGAAAAAGCCAAUUCAUAAAAGCUUCAGCUAAACGUCUGUGUAUGGUAGCCGACUGUCCUGGAAGGAACAGACCUGGUGGAACAAACAUCCUCACAGCGAAUCACCACAUGCUUCGUUUUGAGGUUAUUUUCCUUCUGUUUUUAAGCAUG